rnacentral:lncRNA from 1 species
UAAUGUUGCAAAUUAAAGAAGUAUUUUCUGAGUUUUAAAUAUUUCAGGGAUAUGUGGAUGAAAGGGAUUAACAGUGCAGGAGAGAAUGGAAUGGACUAACAGAUGACAUGCUGGUCAGAAAGAAGCUUACAGAUGAAAAUGUGAACAAGAACCAUGAGAUGGGAUAUGUGGAUGAGAGGGAUUAACAGUGCAGGAGAGGAUGGAAUGGACUAACCGAUGACAUGCCGGUCAGAAUGAGGUUGACAGAUGAAAAGCAAAAAAAGAAAUAUGAGAUGUGAAAUACAGAUGAGAAGAGAUGAUGAUUCACAUGAUUCCUUUGACGAUGCAGGACAGAAUGGAAUGGAAAAACAGAUGACAUGCUGGUCAGAAUGAGACUUACAAAUGAAAAGUGUAAACAAGAAUCAGAUGAGAUGGGUACAAGGAAAUGUGGAUGAGGAUGGAUGAUGAUUUCAAUGAUUCCUUUGACAAUAUAGGAGAGAAUAGAAUGGACAAACAGAUUACAUGCUGUUCAGAAUGAAGCUGACAGAUAAAAAGAGCCGACAAGAAGCAUGAGAUGGUCUGUGUUGAGGUAAAACCUGAUGAUUCCUAGGAAGACUGUCUUUGGAUGAUGUAGUUUUUGGUUGAUGUACAAAAAGCCUGACAGCAGCUUCAAGCCUGACAACAGCUUCAAGCCUGGCAACAGCUUCCAGAAUCAUGGACACAUAUAUCAGUAAAUUAAUAUUUUUCAUUUUUAAGUUAUUGUCCAUGUGCAGUCACAUGGAGGAAAGAUUCACAAGGGUAAAAAUUAAACUUGGACAAAAACACAAAAUAUCAUAUUUAAUUAUUCUUUAACUAUGUGGAUUUCAAACUAUCAAAUGGGUGAAUUAUUUCAUCAGUUUUCCACAAUAAAUAAAAUAAUGUAAAAUAUAGAAUAAAAUAAUAAAAAAACUAACAAAAUAAAUAAACACAAUUUUUGGGGAAAAAGUGACUCUUUUCUAAUGCU